rnacentral:rRNA from 1 species
AUUGAACGCUGGCGGCAGGCCUAACACAUGCAAGUCGAACGGUAACAGGAAGAAGCUUGCUUCUUUGCUGACGAGUGGCGGACGGGUGAGUAAUGUCUGGGAAACUGCCUGAUGGAGGGGGAUAACUACUGGAAACGGUAGCUAAUACCGCAUAACGUCGCAAGACCAAAGAGGGGGACCUUCGGGCCUCUUGCCAUCGGAUGUGCCCAGAUGGGAUUAGCUAGUAGGUGGGGUAACGGCUCACCUAGGCGACGAUCCCUAGCUGGUCUGAGAGGAUGACCAGCCACACUGGAACUGAGACACGGUCCAGACUCCUACGGGAGGUAGCAGUGGGGAAUAUUGCACAAUGGGCGCAAGCCUGAUGCAGCCAUGCCGCGUGUAUGAAGAAGGCCUUCGGGUUGUAAAGUACUUUCAGCGGGGAGGAAGGGAGUAAAGUUAAUACCUUUGCCCAUUGACGUUACCCGCAGAAGAAGCACCGGCUAACUCCGUG